rnacentral:rRNA from 1 species
GCUCAGGACGAACGCUGGCGGCGUGCCUAAUACAUGCAAGUCGAGCGCGGGAAAUAAGCUGAUUCUCAUCUGAGAUGACGCUUAUGGAACGAGCGGCGGACGGGUGAGUAACACGUGGGUAACCUGCCUGUGAGACUGGGAUAACUUGCGGAAACGUGAGCUAAUACCGGAUAAUACUUUCUAUUGCAUGAUAGAAAGGUGAAAGACGGCGUAAGCUGUCACUUGCAGAUGGACCCGCGGCGCAUUAGCUAGUUGGUGAGGUAAGGGCUCACCAAGGCAACGAUGCGUAGCCGACCUGAGAGGGUGAUCGGCCACACUGGGACUGAGACACGGCCCAGACUCCUACGGGAGGCAGCAGUAGGGAAUCUUCCGCAAUGGACGAAAGUCUGACGGAGCAACGCCGCGUGAGUGAUGAAGGUCUUCGGAUCGUAAAGCUCUGUUGUCAGGGAAGAACAAGUACCGGAGUCACUGCCGGUACCUUGACGGUACCUGACCAGAAAGCCACGGCUAACUACGUGCCAGCAGCCGCGGUA